AUUGAACGCUAGCGGCAGGCCUAACACAUGCAAGUCGAACGAGUGGCGGACGGGUGAGUAAUAUCUGGGAAACUGCCCGGUAGAGGGGGAUAACUACUGGAAACGGUAGCUAAUACCGCAUACCAUCGGAUGUGCCCAGAUGGGAUUAGCUAGUUGGUGGGGUAACGGCUCACCAAGGCGACGAUCCGUAGCUGGUCUGAGAGGAUGACCAGCCACACUGGAACUGAGACACGGCCCAGACUCCUACGGGAGGCAGCAGUGGGGAAUAUUGGACAAUGGGCGAAACCCUGAUGCAGCCAUGCCGCGUGUAUGAAGAAGGCCUUCGGGUUGUAAAGUACUUUCAGCGGGGAGGCGUUACCCGCAGAAGAAGCACCGGCUAACUCCGUGCCAGCAGCCGCGGUAAUAC
rnacentral:rRNA from 1 species